CCGUAGGUGAACCUGCGGAAGGAUCAUUGUCGAUCGCCUACACCAAAACGACCCGCGAACGAUCGAUCAUCACUCUCGGUGGGCCCGAAUCUUAGCUGAUCCCGUGCCUGCCGAUUCCGUGGUUACGCGUAUGACCCCUGUGAAGAUGUAUAGUCUCGUUUGGGUCAUGCGCCUAGCUUCCAGUUAAUCACAAAACCCCGGCACGAAAAGUGUCAAGGAACAUGCAAAUAAACAGCCUUUGUUCGCCAACCCGGAGACGGUGUUUUGCGCGGAUUUUGUGCUGCAAUAUAAAGUCUAAAACGACUCUCGGCAACGGAUAUCUAUCCUCUCGCAUCGAUGAAGAACGUAGCGAAAUGCGAUACUUGGUGUGAAUUGUGGAAUCCCGUGAACCAUCGAGUCUUUGAACGCAAGUUGCGCCCCAAGCCUUCUGGCCGAGGGCACGUCUGCCUGGGUGUCACAAAUCGUCGUCCCCAAUCCUCUCGAGGAUAGGGACGGAAGCUGGACUCCCGAGUGUUACCGCACGCGGUUGGCCAAAAUCCGAGCUAAGGACGCCAGGAUCGUCUCGACAUGCGGUGGUGAAUUCAAGCCUCGUCAAAUUGUCGGUCGCUCUGUUUCAAAAGCUCUCGAUGACCCAAAGUCCUCAACGCGACCCCAGGUCAGGCGGGAUCACCCGCUGAGUUUAA
rnacentral:rRNA from 1 species